AGAGUUUGAUCCUGGCUCAGGACGAACGCUGGCGGCGUGCCUAACACAUGCAAGUCGAACGGGGAAGUUAGCAAUAACUUUCUAGUGGCGAACGGGUGAGUAACGCGUAGACAACCAACCUUUUUGUGGGGGACAACACUUCGAAAGGAGUGCUAAUACCGCAUACGUUCCAGAAACCGCCUGGUAUUUGGAAGAAAGGAGCUUUACGGCUUCGCAGAAAGACGGGUCUGCGUCUGAUUAGCUAGUUGGAGGGGUAACGGCCCACCAAGGCGACGAUCAGUAGCCGGUCUGAGAGGAUGGACGGCCACACUGGGACUGAGACACGGCCCAGACUCCU
rnacentral:rRNA from 1 species